CCUAGAGGAGGCUGUUUUUGAUAAAACAAGGCGGGAGAAAAGCGAAACCCUAACCCGCUUUUCUAGAUCCGAAGAUAAUUUCCACUCCAUCGGAGCCACGCGAUUUUUUACCUGCAUGGCUCAGCUGCCGGCCCUUUCUUCAAGCUCCGUUUCUCAAAUCUCCUCCCAUGGAAUCAAGAAAUCCCAGGGGCUCCAGAGCUGUGAAAGUAAUUGCCUAAAAACACCCAACUUUUGCCAGAAGAUACAUUUUACAUAUAGUGGUCACUCAUUCAUUCAACACGUCUCAUGCCAAAAAUUGAACUCUCGUGUACGAGG